rnacentral:rRNA from 1 species
GACGAACGCUGGCGGCGUGCUUAACACAUGCAAGUUGAACGGAAAGGCCCUGCUUUGGUGGGGUGCUCGAGUGGCGAACGGGUGAGGAACACGUGAGUAACCUGCCCUUGACUUUGGGAUAACUUCAGGAAACUGGGGCUAAUACCGGAUAGGAGCUCCUGCUGCAUGGUGGGGGUUGGAAAGUUUCGGCGGUUGGUGAUGGACUCGCGGCUUAGCAGCUUGUUGGUGGGGUAGUGGCUUACCAAGGCUUUGACGGGUAGCCGGCCUGAGAGGGUGACCGGCCACAUUGGGACUGAGAUACGGACCAGACUCCUACGGGAGGCAGCAGUGGGGAAUAUUGCACAAUGGGCGGAAGCGUGAUGCAGAAACGCCGCGUGCGUGAUGCCGGCCUUCGGGUUGUAAACCGCUUUCGCCUGUGACGAAGCGUGAGUGACGGUAAUGGGUAAAGAAGCACCGGCUAACUACGUG